rnacentral:misc_RNA from 1 species
GUAGUUCUUUGAUGAAACAGGUAGGAAUCGUUUCCUGUAAGUACCAUCAGAAUUGAAACUUUGAAUCCGUAUAACUUCUUGGAAUACAUUAAAUAUUUGUAAUUGAUUUUAUGUUUUUGUUAUAUCUGGAUGCAUGAAAUAAUUUUUGAAGGAAGUCAUAUGCCUUCCCUUUGCACAUUAUGAUUGAAAAGGUUGGCAAUGAACUCAACUAAACUAAGUUUUAAUCCUAAACUAGUUGGGGUUAACCAUAUGAACCCUUUUCCUCCAUUCCUCCGGUUUUAGGGCUACAUCUUUAAAAUAAAAUAAAGUAUUUAUGUAACAUACUCUUCCUUAGUUUUUGUUUUAUAUAAUUCUAAUUUUUAGACUUCAGAAAAAAAAAAUGUUGAUGAGUUCAGGUAUCAUCUCCGUACCUUGAGAUUGUUUACCCGGAGAUUGUUUUCCCAUCUUAACACAUAUAGGUAAUGUUUGGUAUAAAUGAAU